rnacentral:rRNA from 1 species
GUAGGGAAUAUUGGGCAAUGGAUGCAAGUCUGACCCAGCCAUCCCGCGUGCCGGAAGAAGGCCCUCAGGGUUGUAAACGGCUUUUGACGGUGAAGAACCGACAGGAUGCGUCCUGUUUUGACGGUAGCCGUUGAAUAAGCACCGGCUAACUCCGUGCCAGCAGCCGCGGUAAUACGGCGGGUGCGAGCGUUGUCCGGACUUAUUGGGUUUAAAGGGUGCGGAGGCUGGAAGGUCAGUCAGCGGUGAAAAGCUAUCGCUUAACGAUAGUCUUGCCGCAGAUACUUCCUUUCUUGGAUGAGGAGGAGGCCACUGGAACGGAUGGUGUAGCGGUGAAAUGCAUAGAUAUCAUCCAGAACACCGAUUGCGAAGGCAGGUGGCUGUACCUUAAUCGACGCUGAUGCACGAAAGCAUGGGGAGCAAACAGGAUUAGAAACCCCAGUAGUCC